AUGGCGGCCCAUCAGCGCCAGUAGGCAGUAGCGGUCGAUGCAGCGUCUUUAUUAUGUCUAUGAUCACGACGGUCAGGUUUAAUGGAGGCAGGAGCAGCUAAAUCAUUUUAAAGAACGAUGCCAGGGUCAGAUCACUUGGCUUCUCACUCCACUUGUAGAUGAAUCAUCGUCAGCGAGACGAGAUGAAGGACCUGAAGGACUCCACAUACUACAGAACAUGCCCCAGGACUACCAAGCCCAAAUGACUCUGAGCUGUCCCUGUCUGAAGUCCACCUGGUUGUGCUGCAGACCAGGUUGCUGCGUGAUGAUUCUUGAAGCCACUGCCCACCUGAUUGUCUUAUGUCUGGCUUUCCAAAAUAUUUAAAAUGAAAUUAUCUUAUAAUAUUAAAUUCCAGUGGGAAUAAACAAAAUCCCUUGGGAAAAUAUAACCAGGUUAUGGAGGUAUAUUUUGUGAACUUUAACCCAAUCUGGAAAAUUCUGGUUAUUUUCAUAUUGUAUACCUUGAAUGUGUAAAAUGUGACUGUUAUGGAAGGUGCGUUUGAGAAAUGUCUGUCUUUCCAGUGGCUGAAAUCUGUAAA